GAUGAACGCUAGCGGGAGGCCUAACACAUGCAAGCCGAGCGGUAUGGGUAGCUUGCUACCCAGAGAGCGGCGUACGGGUGCGUAACACGUGUGCAACCUUCCCCUAUCCGGGGGAUAUCCCUCCGAAAGGAGGAUUAAUGCCCCAUAAUAUAUCUGGUGGCAUCACUAGAUAUUGAAAACCCCGGUGGAUAGGGAUGGGCACGCGCAAGAUUAGAUAGUUGGCGGGGUAACGGCCCACCAAGUCGAUGAUCUUUAGGGGUCCUGAGAGGGAGAUCCCCCACACUGGUAAUGAGACACGGACCAGACUCCUACGGGAGGCAGCAGAGAGGAAGAUUAGACAAUGGGGGGAAGCCUGAUCCAACCAUCCCGCGUGAGGGACGACGGCCCUAUGGGUUGUAAACCUCUGUUGUACGGGGAUAAACCUAUAUACGUGUAGAUAGCUGAAGGUACCGUACGAAUAAGCACCGGCUAACUCCGUG
rnacentral:rRNA from 1 species